UGAAUACGAGAUGCUACGGCGUCGAAGCAGUCUAUGUCAUACUUCCAAGAAAAGCUCGCACUGUCAUAAACAAAUAAUGCCUGUACCAUAACCGACACAGGUGGGUAGGUAGAGUAUACUAAGGGGCGCGAGAUAACUCUCUCUAAGGAACUCGGCAAAAUGACUCCGUAACUUCGGGAGAAGGAGUGCCUUAUUUAUAAGGUUGCAAUAACAAGAUCCAAGCAACUGUUUAUCAAAAACACAGGUCUCCGCUAAGUCGUAAGACGAUGUAUGGGGGCUGACGCCUGCCCAGUGCCAGAAGGUUAAAGAAGUUGGUUAGCAUUCGCGAAGCUGAUAACUGAAGCCCUGGUGAACGGCGGCCGUAACGAUAACGGUCCUAAGGUAGCGAAAUUCCUUGUCGGGUAAGUUCCGACCCGCACGAAAGGCGUAAUGAUUUGGAUACUGUCUCGGAGAGGGGCUCGGUGAAAUAGACUUGUCUGUGAAGAUGCGGACUACCUGCACCAGGACAAAAGACCCUAUGAAGCUUUACUGUAACUUGAGAUUGAAAUUGGACUUUACUUGCGCAGUAUAGGUGGGAGGCGUUGAUAAUAUUCUUGCGGGAUUAUUUGAGCCAUCAGUGAGAUACCACUCUUGUAAUGUUAGAUUUCUAACUUUGUAUCAUUAUCUGGUCAAAGGACAGUUUCAGGCGGGCAGUUUGACUGGGGCGGUCGCCUCCUAAACGGUAACGGAGGCGCACAAAGGUUUCCUCUGAACGGGUAGAAAUCGUAUCUAGAGUGUAAAGGCAUAAGGAAGCUUGACUGUGAGACCUACAAGUCGAGCAGGGACGAAAGUCGGUCUUAGUGAUCUGACGGUGCUGAGUGGAAAGGCCGUCACUCAACGGAUAAAAGUUACUCUAGGAUAACAGGCUGAUCACCCCCAAGAGUUCACAUCGACGGGGAGGUUUGGCACCUCGAUGUCGGCUCAUCGCAUCCUGGGGCGGUAGUACGUCCCAAGGGUUGGGCUGUUCGCCCAUGAAAGCGGUACGCGAGCUGGGUUCAGAACGUCGUGAGACAGUUCGGUCCAUAUCCGGUGUAGGCGUUAGAAUAUUGAGAGGAGCCUUCUUUAGUACGAGAGGACCGAGAAGGACAUACCUCUGGUGUACCAGUUAUCGUGCCAACGGUAAACGCUGGGUAGCUAUGUAUGGAGUGGAUAACCGCUGAAAGCAUCUAAGUGGGAAGCCCACCUCAAGAUAAG
rnacentral:rRNA from 1 species